rnacentral:rRNA from 13 species
GACUCUCGGCAACGGAUAUCUCGGCUCUUGCAUCGAUGAAGAACGUAGCGAAAUGCGAUACUUGGUGUGAAUUGCAGAAUCCCGUGAACCAUCGAGUCUUUGAACGCAAGUUGCGCCCGAAGCCAUUAGGCCGAGGGCACGCCUGCCUGGGUGUCACAC